rnacentral:rRNA from 1 species
CCUACGGGAGGCUGCAGUGGGGGAUAUUGCACAAUGGGGGAAACCCUGAUGCAGCGACGCCGCGUGUGGGAAGACGGUCCUCUGGAUUGUCAACCACUGUCCCCAGGGACGAAGAUGACGGUACCUGGGGCGGAAGCUCCGGCUAACUACGUGCCAGCAGCCGCGGUAAUACGUAGGGAGCGGGCGUUGUCCGGAAUUACUGGGUGUAAAGGGAGCGUAGGCGGGACUGCAAGUUGGGUGUCAAAUCUACCGGCUCAACCGGUAGCCGCACUCAAAACUGCAGUUCUUGAGUGAAGUAGAGGCAGGCGGAAGUCCUAGUGUAGCGGUGAAAUGCGUAGAUAUUAGGAGGAACACCAGUGGCGAAGGCGGCCUGCUGGGCUUUUACUGACGCUGAGGCUCGAAAGUGUGGGGAGCAAACAGGAUUAGAUACCCGAGUAGUC